rnacentral:misc_RNA from 1 species
GAUGAAGAACGUAGUGAAAUGCGAUAAGUAAUGUGAAUUGCAGAAUUCAGUGAAUCAUCGAAUCUUUGAACGCACAUUGCGCCCGCCAGUAUUCUGGCGGGCAUGCCUGUUCGAGCGUCAUUUCAACCAUCAAGCCCCAGGCUUGUGUUGGGGACCUGCGGCUGCCGCAGGCCCUGAAAACCAGUGGCGGGCUCGCUAGUCACACCGAGCGCAGUAAUACAUCUCGCUUUGGGCGUGCGGCGGGUUCUUGCCGUUAAACACCCCCUUUUUACCAAGGUUGACCUCGGAUCAGGUAGGAAUACCCGCUGAACUUAAGCAUAUCAAUAAGCGGAGGA